rnacentral:rRNA from 1 species
UGGGGAAUUUUGCGCAAUGGGCGAAAGCCUGACGCAGCAACGCCGCGUGAGUGAAGAAGGCCUUCGGGUUGUAAAGCUCUUUCAGCAGGAACGAAACGGUCGGCUUUAAUAAAGUCGGCUAAUGACGGUACCUGCAGAAGAAGCACCGGCUAACUACGUGCCAGCAGCCGCGGUAAUACGUAGGGUGCGAGCGUUAAUCGGAUUUACUGGGCGUAAAGGGCGCGUAGGCGGCAAUUCAAGUCAUCUGUGAAAUCUCCGGGCUUAACUCGGAACGGCCAGAUGAUACUGCUUUGCUAGAGUGCAGAAGGGGCAAUCGGAAUUCUUGGUGUAGCGGUGAAAUACGUAGAUAUCAAGAGGAACACCUGAGGUGAAGACGGGUUGCUGGGCUGACACUGACGCUGAGGCGCGAAAGCCAGGGGAGCAAACGGGAUUAGAUACACCCGUAGUCCCUGAGCGGGCUGGCAAGGCGCAU